rnacentral:rRNA from 1 species
UCCGAAAGGGGCUAGCGCUGUUCGGAAUUACUAGGCGUAAUGCGCACGUAGGCGGCCUUGUAAGAUGGGGGUAAAAUCCCCGGGCUGAACCCGGGAACUGCCUUCAUGACUGCAAAGCUAGAGGAUUCGAGAGGUUAGCGGUAAUCCAAGUGUAGAGGUGAAAUUCGUACAUAUUCGGAAGAACACCAGUGGCGAAGGCGGCUAACUGCCGCAUUUAUGACGCUGGGAUGCGAGAGCGUGGGGAGCAGUCAGG